rnacentral:lncRNA from 1 species
AUCUCAGCUUCCCUAUCAAUGUAACAUAUGUUUCCCCAUGCCAAUCUCAGCUUCUAUCAAACUAAACAUCUUUCCCAUGCCAAUCUCAGCUUCCCUAUCAAUGUAAACAUAUGUUCCCCAUGCCAAUCUCAGCUUCCUUAUCAAUGUAAACAUAUGUUCCCCAUGCCAAUCUCAGCUUCCCUAUCAAUGUAAACAUAUGUUCCCCAUGCCUAUCUCAGCUUCCCUAUCAAUGUAAACAUAUGUUCCCCAUGCCUAUCUCAGCUUCCCUAUCAAUCUAAACAUAUCUUCCCCAUGCCAAUCUCAACUUCCCUAUCAAAUCAAAAAAUGUCAUGCAGACAACCUUUUGAUCGGGUAUAAACUGCUUUUGCAGUUUGUUCUUUGUUAUAGAGCCAAAGAGAUUGGAGAAGUGGUUUAUCCACACAUCUCCGUUUGGGAUAGAUAACUCCUUGUGUUUGUUUAGUGUGUUGGGAUUUUACAUUUAGCGGGGUUCUGAUGUGCUGUUCAUUAUUUUUCCGUAGUGUAUUUCUGUAUUGUUUUAGUGAUUCACCAUAGUGAAGUCUCAAGUUCUGGAUCUCUAUGUUAUUGGUUGGAUAGAUUUCUCAAUUCCUUUCUUAGGUUUAGAAUGCAAAAACCUAAGAAGGAAAUAGAGAACAAACAGCAAAAACAUAUAUACACGACCAAAUACAAAUCUUAAAAUCGACUAUUAAAAGACUGCCAGAACCCACUGGAUUCUCCAAUUACAUUGACUGAACUACAGGACAAAAUACAAAUCCUCUAAUCCAAAAGUCCUGUGGUGUUGAUGGUAUCCUAAGUGAAAUGAUAAAAAAGACAAACCACAAAUUCCAAUUGGCUAUACUUAAAACUUUUUAACAUCAUUCUCAGCUCUGGCAUCUUCCCCAAUAUUUGGAACCAAGGACUGAACACCCAAAACAUACAACAUUAUAAAAUAAAUGUAGACAAACAAAAAGUGUGAAGUGUAAAAAUUGUCAAAAAAUACAACAUUUCUUUCCACGGGCCGUGGGGUGAGACACGGACGCAGCUUGGGCCCCACCCUCUUCUAUAUAUAUAUAUAUAUCAAUGAAUUGGCGAGGGCACUAGAACA